rnacentral:rRNA from 1 species
ACGCAGUGAACUGAAACAUCUAAGUAGCUGCAGGAAGAGAAAGAAAUAUCGAUUUCCCAAGUAGCGGCGAGCGAACAGGAAAGAGCCCAAACCGGCAGAUUUAUCUGCCGGGGUUGUAGGACUGAGACAUGGCACUUCAGAGGAUAGCAGAAGCGUUUGGGAAAGCGCGCCAGAGAGGGUGAGAGCCCCGUAAGCGAAAUCCAAAG